GCGGCGAGUGGCGAACGGGUGAGUAAUACAUCGGAACGUGCCCAAUCGUGGGGGAUAACGCAGCGAAAGCUGUGCUAAUACCGCAUACGAUCUACGGAUGAAAGCAGGGGAUCGCAAGACCUUGCGCGAAUGGAGCGGCCGAUGGCAGAUUAGGUAGUUGGUGAGGUAAAGGCUCACCAAGCCUUCGAUCUGUAGCUGGUCUGAGAGGACGACCAGCCACACUGGGACUGAGACACGGCCCAGACUCCUACGGGAGGCAGCAGUGGGGAAUUUUGGACAAUGGGCGCAAGCCUGAUCCAGCCAUGCCGCGUGCAGGAUGAAGGCCUUCGGGUUGUAAACUGCUUUUGUACGGAACGAAACGGCCUUUUCUAAUAAAGAGGGCUAAUGACGGUACCGUAAGAAUAAGCACCGGCUAACUACGUGCCAGCAGCCGCGGUAAUACGUAGGGUGCAAGCGUUAAUCGGAAUUACUGGGCGUAAAGCGUGCGCAGGCGGUGAUGUAAGACAGUUGUGAAAUCCCCGGGCUCAACCUGGGAACUGCAUCUGUGACUGCAUUGCUGGAGUACGGCAGAGGGGGAUGGAAUUCCGCGUGUAGCAGUGAAAUGCGUAGAUAUGCGGAGGAACACCGAU
rnacentral:rRNA from 1 species